GGCAAUACAUCAGAACAUUUUCUCUGUAAACCCUAAACUACAAACGCCGCUUUCAUUCUUUUCAUCUAUCUUUGUGUUUUCUCCUCUCCAUUGAAGCCGCUUCGAUUAUGUUUAAGCGGACGACGGCAACGAAGUCUUCGUUAUGUGUGAAGGCCGUAAUCAACGUUGGUGAUGGUGGUGCCGGGUGUUGACGUCACUGAACUCUAAAUCACUAACAGAGACUAUAUUUAUUCAAUUGGAUGGUGGGAACUGCCGGUGAGAACGACGACGAAGACCGAUGGCUGUCGUAAUAGGUUGUGGUGGAAAGGUGGACUAAACCGAUCUUCCUGAGAUGGAGAAGAAGAAUUAUGUGUCUUUGAUGGAAGUUGGAAUCUAAGUGAUUACUUGGCAAAUGGAGUCGACAUGAAGAUUGAAACACCCUGGUUUGAGGUAUUUCAAACUUUUAUUGACAUUAUGUUUUAUAAACCUUAAGAUGUAAAUAUCUUAGUUCUAUUUUGUUAUACCUUAAAAUUCUCUCAUGGGUAAAUUAUUCAAUGAUUUAUUAAAAGUUUGGUGGUUAAUCUCAUUUUGGAUGAAGAUGACAGUUGACCUUUUUAUAAACAUAUAUACAUAUUAAAAAUAUAUUACUAAACGAUCAUUAUCAGGUUAAUGGAAUACAAGUGAACUACUGGGUCAUCAAUUAUGUUAUAAAUUUUUUGUAUGUUGUGCUGAAUAGCUAGGUGUUCACACACGGGCCAAACUUGCGAAAGAAAACUGGAAAAAAAUACAACUAUUAGAGUGCUAAAAUGUUGCAGAAAUAAACUAUUUCAAAUCCAGUGUUGGAUUGUUAUUAUGUUGACAUCAAGUUUCAGGUUUUAUAAAAGUAGUUCAAGGAUUAAUUCUCUUACUUUUAUCAUUAGAAGGAGGUAUUAUUCUUAAACAGGUUGCUGAUGCUAUGGCCCACAUAAUGCACAAUAAAAGAUUAAUCUAAACAUUUUAUUUGUAUAUGAUUGCACUGACACUUGGAUUUACUUAAAUGAAAAGAAGAGGAAAAAAAUAAGGCGGAUUCCAUGGGGAUAAAAUUGUAUGCGUGUAAUGAGUUCUCUCACACGGUUAGUUUUCCAUUUGCAAUUAAUACUAGCUGCAGUUUCGACCCUUUUACUUAUUAGUGGUUUGGGUUGCGUUCUACAUCAAAUGGGUUAAAUAGUCAAAGAAAGUGUUUUGGAAUGUUCAUUCAAACGUCAAUAAUAUACUGCUAAUAAAUAAUUAGCGCAUUAUCUUUUUACUAAAAAAAAUUCAAAGCUGAGCAAGAAAAUGGUUGAGAAUCAGCACUAGGGAUGAGCAUGGUACCCGUUCGGUACUAAACCGGUACCGGUACUUCUGAAAGUACCGGUACCAAAAUACGGGAAAAAUUGGUACCGGUACCGUAUAUACCGGUUUGAUACGGUACCGGUAUUUACUGGUGUUUUACCCGUAAAUACCGCUACCUGGCACCAAAUACUCAUCUCUAAUCAACACAACUAGCAAUGGGUGAUAGUUUUGUUUCUUAAAAAUAUAAAUCAGUGGAUGUGAUAUUGCAUAUAUUUUAGUUUUACAUUUCUUUUUAUUUUUUUGUUAUUUCUUUAUUUACACUCACUAUUUAGCUUCCUUUUUUACUUUGAUAUUAAUUUUAAUUUUGUCUUAAUCUUUAAUUUUGUUUUAAUCCUAUUAUUCAUUCUAAGAGUACUUUUAUAAAGAUGGUUACUACUUUUUAGAUGUAGAAAAGUGAGUGCAUUGGGUAAUGGUUUGAAAUGGGUUUGGGUUGAAGUGGGUCACCUUAGUCGACAAGAAAGUGUUAUGGUUCAAUCCAUUUUGACCCUUGCUAGGAGGACAUACUUUAAGCCUACGUUGUACCCAACUCGCCCAUCUUGCCUCCUCCAUUGUUAAUGACAGUUUUUAUUCGUCAGAUUCUUUGAUUGGCAGGUGUAAAUUAUUGUUUACAAGGUUCCUAAAGACGAGUUUGAGAAUAACUUCCAUAGUCGCUCAAGAGGAAAUAUGAUUGGUGCAACAUCCAGUAAACAAGUUUUUGUUUUGUUAUUCUAUGUGUUAAUAUAUUUUUUUCACGUAUAAUUUUAAAGUAUGUAUCUACGGUUUCAGUUAAGUUGACUGGCAACAAUUACUCCACCGACUCUGCGACUCCGCUUUUAAGUUCCUCAUCUUCAGACAUCAGAAGGUCGUAAAGACAACUACGUGUACGUCUCUGAAGCUCUCACAGCAGGAAUCGUAGCAGGUGGUGUGGAAUCACUAAUGAGCUAUCCGUUUGAGCUUUUUACGAUUCGUGCACAGGUGUCAGCCGUUUCUCAUGUUCCAAACUCUUCUACGAAUUUGCAAAAAGCGUCUAUAUCAACUUCAGUUACAAAACUAUUGCGUGGAUAUGAUCCAGACGUCAAGGCACUGGACCAUUCGAUUGGUCUGUUGGCCACCGUAGAUACUAAACGUUCGAACUUGACGAGCUCUCUGAAAGAGUACCCGUGUAUAUGUUUUUAUAUUUCAUCUAACGAGGCCUAAUGCAUUAGUGUUACUCUUGAUUCAAUAUUUUACUCAAUAGGUAUGGUUUGAUUUUAAUUUUAAAUAGAAAUGAAUCAGUGUGGUGAAAUUUUUUAUUAA